GACGAACGCUGGCGGCGUGCUUAACACAUGCAAGUCGAACGGAAAGGCCCUGGUUUUGUGGGGUGCUCGAGUGGCGAACGGGUGAGUAACACGUGAGUAACCUGCCCUUGACUUUGGGAUAUCUUCAGGCAACUGGGGCUAAUACCGGAUAGGAGCUCCUGCUGCAUGGUGGGGGUUGGAAAGUUUCGGCUGUUGGGGAUGGACCCGCGGCUUAUCAGCUUGUUGGUGGGGUAGUGGCUUACCAAGGCUUUGACGGGUAGCCGGCCUGAGAGGGGGACCGGCCACAUUGGGACUGAGAUACGGCCCAGACUCCUACGGGAGGCAGGAGUGGAGAAUAGUGCACAGUGGGCGGAAGGCUGAUGUAGCGACGCCGCGUGGGGGAUAACAUCCUUCUGGUAGGAAACCGCUUUCGUUUGUGACGAAGCGUGAGUGACGGUAAUGGGUAAAGAAGCACCGGCUAACUACGUG
rnacentral:rRNA from 1 species